CUGCAGCUGGACAUGUGAGUGCCUGGGCUACUUCCAUGGGAUAGGAGUUUGGUAUCAAGUCACCAGGCUUUUGGUCCCUUGCGCUCUCUACACUUAUCAGGCAGGGUGUGUUCUCAGAACUGGAGGAAUGCACGGCACAGAGGGGCAGCUCAUGGUUUUGUAACUGACAGGAGGGGGCCUGCCCUUCCUGCUGGAGUUCUUAGGACUCAGAAUGUGCAAAGCAGAACUGAUAGCGCACCAAGCACAGAGAAAAGCACACACCCUGCAGCAUCGCACCAGAAAGACUUAAUGCAAAGAGAAGAUAAGGUGAUGCUGAUAUUACACUUUGAGGACCACUGAACCAGAACACCUUGAGAAUACGUCUCAGCUCUGACAAUCCAUGGUGAGUGGUAAGGAAUUUGGAAACAUCUGUAUUUUUUUUUAACAUCUGUAUUUUUAAUAAGCCUUUUCCAUCUACAGCCGCCCAGUACACCAAGAGGGGGCUUCUUCCAUGGGAGUUUCAGACACCACAAAAAUGAUUGCAAAGACCUGCAAUUCAUCUUAUAACUCCCUUCCUUCAUGAGUCUAAAUCAAUGUCUUCAGUAAUGUUUGGGCUCCUGGAAUAAAAACACUCAAGGUUCAGAAACCUUAGAUAAUUUGGUUGGUUGACUGUUCAGGUGUAUAGACUGCAAGGAAAGCACAGUUCCAUAUGGCGCUCGCUAGGGCAGAGCAUAGUGUUGGCCUGCAGAAGGCCCAGAGUUUCUUAGUGGCACAACAUCAAGAUU
rnacentral:lncRNA from 1 species